ACUGAAACAUGGCUGAGGAUCCUCAGAGAAAUUUCCGAUCGGUGUAUUAUGAAAAAGUAGGAUUUCGUGGUGUUGAAGAAAAGAAAUCACUGGAAAUUCUUCUGAAAGAUGAUCGGCUUGAUAUUGAGAAGCUCUGCACAUUCAGUCAGAGGUUUCCUCUCCCAUCCAUGUAUCGGAUCCUUGUGUGGAAGGUGCUUCUAGGAAUUCUUCCUCCUCACCAUGAAUCUCACGGGUUUGUGAUGCGAUGUCGAAAGGAGCAGUAUAAGGACGUGCACCAUGCGCUCCGAGUAAUUCGCUUUAUCAAGGAUUCUACCCCACAGGUUGAAGUUUUCCUCCGAAUAUACCAGCUGGAGUCGGGAAAGCUUCCUCGGAAUCCAUCUCUCUCUUCGGAAGCAGAGGACGAGGUAUUCCUUGCCAUUGCUAAAGCUAUGGAAGAAAUGGUAGAAGAUCACAUUGAUUGUUAUUGGCUCAUCAGUAGCUUUGUGAACCAGUUGAACAAUAAGUACAAGGAUUCAAUACCACAGCUGCCAAAACUUUUGGAACAGUACCUGAGCCUUGAAGACAGCGGACUCUUAACGCAUCUGAAGUUGUGUUCAGCAAUGGACCAUCUUCCUUACAAUCUUUGGUUUAGAAAGUGUUUUGCGGGUUGUCUACCUGAAUCCAGCUUACAAAGGGUUUGGGACAAAGUUAUUAGCGGCUCCUGCAAAAUUCUGGUCUUCGUUGCUGUUGAGAUUUUAUUAACCUUUAAAAUGAAGUUGAUGGCCUUGAAUAGCGCAGGAAAGAUUCAACAGUUUUUGGAAAAUAUACCUCAAGAUAACACGGAUGCAAUAGUGAGCAAAGCGAUUGAGCUGUGGCAAAAACAUUGUGGGACCCCUGCCCACUCAGUCUGAGACCAUGCUGCCCGCCGAUCCACCCAGCAUGUGAAACCAUCAUCAGCCAACCUGGGAGAUCCCUCCAAUCCUGUGAGACUCGAGUUGCUGUUUAGUGGCCUGGAAACCUAAACAGGAAGGAAGGCAGCAUAUUCGAGGUAAAUAAAUUAGAUGUCACUUCCGUGCAGCUUAGCAUUUGAUUGCAGCCCUGCAUCAUAAAUAACUGUAGAAUCAAUAAUAGCAGGCAAUAAAAAAAGACCAUGUUUUUUCUUUUAAAAUGAUUUUUUUUAAAGAAACUGCAUACAUCAGAGACAAUUUAAAUACCAUGCAGUUUCAAUAUGUACAAAAACCCUAGGAUGUAGAGAUUCAGUUUUAGUGUUUCCUCUAGGUAUUUACAUUUUGUUCUGGUUUUUACUUUCCCCCCCAUACAGCCAUAAUCUGUUAAAUUACAAUACUGGAAGAUCACAGGUUUGACUGUCACCACAUUCACUCCUAUACAAAGACAAAACUAUGUACAUACACUUGACUUGGAGAGUAACUGGAAAAUGCACUGGUUCCAGAACCACUGAAAUGCUCAGGCAUACCCCCUUCCCUUGCUUUUCUGUUCACACAAGAAUAAAGUUCGGCUGGAUGAACAGGCGGGCGGAGGGAACAAUUUUCAACCCUGUUUGCCAUAUGCAGAAACAUCAUCUGUGCCCUUUUUCAAAUCACUACCCUUUGACAGAUUCUGAGGGAGGGAGGAAAUGGUUUUUGUCCAUGCAGCAAGAGAAAUUGCAGCUCUGUGCGAGAUAACCUUCAUCUGCAUGUGAAUCAUAGAGGCAUAUUUAAGUGAAUGCAAAAGUUCACUGCUCAUGCUAGGGGAAAUAAAUGAGACAUCUAUGCAACCCCUGCUGAAAUGAAUGGAAGCAGGAUGACAGUAAAGCCCAUCUCCAUAGAUUUCAGAGGGAAAGGGUUGCAUUAGGCAUUUGUAGUGGAGUGCACACUUCCCGUCACCUGUGAUCACUGUGCUAGGGGAACAGCUGAAUGGCUCUGCUCCAGACAAGACAAGCAUUAAGCAGACUUGAAAAGUAAGCCAUUUUUCAAAUGAAAGUUUCACUAGAUCCAUUUCUAUGUUACAGGGGGAAAUAAAUAUCCAUUUGUUUACUGCUACUUUUUGGAAGUGAAUACAGUGCGUUGCCUUGA